rnacentral:rRNA from 1 species
UACGGAGGGGGCUAGCGUUGUUCGGAAUUACUGGGCGUAAAGGGCGCGCAGGCGGCUGCUCAAGUCAGGCGUGAAAGGCCUGGGCUCAACCCGGGAAUUGCGCUUGAGACUGGGCUGGCUUGAGUGCGGGAGAGGAUGGUGGAAUUCCCAGUGUAGAGGUGAAAUUCGUAGAUAUUGGGAAGAACACCGGUGGCGAAGGCGGCCACCUGGACGGUAACUGACGCUGAGACGCGAAGGCGUGGGGAGCAAACAGGAUUGAGAUAC